rnacentral:rRNA from 1 species
UACGUAGGUGGCAAGCGAUACUCGGAAUCACUAGGCGUAAAGCGCAGGUAGGCGGUUUGGUAAGUCUCUUGUGAAAGCUCCUGGCUCAACUGGGAGAGGUCAAGGGAAACUACCGGACUAGAGUGUGGUAGGGGAUACUGGAAUUCCUGGUGUAGCGGUGAAAUGCGUAGAUAUCAGGAGGAACACCUAUAGCGAAGGCAGCUUGCUGGGACGUUACUGACGCUAAGGCGCGAAAGCGUGGGGAGCGAACAGG